rnacentral:lncRNA from 1 species
AUGAAGUCUGACCAAAUGCUGCCAUUGAUCUAGUGUGCCCGCCAACACGACAGAAACACUUUCAGCUCUUCCCACCAGAGCCCCCAAUAGAUCCCAACUCCCCCACCAAAACCCAACUCCCUAGAGUUCAUGCUAAAGGCCUUGGCUAUUGCUUUGGGCUCUGAACCAGCUUCUCCCUGGAUUUGAAUGUUUUUGUGUUAUUUGUUAUUUUUGUGUUAUCUAGGCAAGCCUGGAAGGAUGGAGGGAGAACCUGCUUGGGACUCGCAGGCCAAGAAAAGUCUCUUGCUUGCUUCCUAAUUGGAAUCCAGAAUCCACCUUCUUAUAGAAAUGGUAUUUUCAAACAGUGACUAACUCUAAUCAAAAUUUAUGGGCUAGAAGGCUAUGUGUGUUUGCCUGUAACGUUUAUUACAUUUUUUUCUUUACUUUUAUGUGGUUAAAUGCUUUCUAAGCUCCAAGGCACCAACUUUCCAAAAAAAAAGUUAAAGCAG